rnacentral:tRNA from 1 species
GCCAGAGUGGCGGAAUUGGCAGACGCACAGGAUUUAAAAUCCUGUGGGGAGUAAUCCCCGUGCGGGUUCGACCCCCGCCUCUGGUA